rnacentral:rRNA from 1 species
CAGCAGCCGCGGGAAUACGUAGGUGGCAAGCGUUGUCCGGAAUUAUUGGGCGUAAAGGGCUCGCAGGCGGUUUCUUAAGUCUGAUGUGAAAGCCCCCGGCUCAACCGGGGAGGGUCAUUGGAAGCUGGGAAACUUGAGUGCAGAAGAGGAGAGUGGAAUUCCACGUGUAGCGGUGAAAUGCGUAGAGAUGUGGAGGAACACCAGUGGCGAAGGCGACUCUCUGGUCUGUAACUGACGCUGAGGAGCGAAAGCGUGGGGAGCGAACAGGAUUAGAUACCCGAGUAGUCCCUGUCUCUUAUAA